UACAGAGGGUGCGAGCGUUGUCCGGAAUCACUGGGCGUAAAGGGCGCGUAGGUGGCUUGAUAAGUAGGGGGUGAAAUCUCGCGGCUCAACUGCGAGGCUGCCUCCUAAACUGUCGGGCUUGAGCAGAGUAGAGGCAGGUGGAAUUCCCGGUGUAGCGGUGGAAUGCGUAGAUAUCGGGAGGAACACCAGUGGCGAAGGCGACUACCUGGCCUGUUCUUGACGCUGAGGCGCGAAAGCUAGGGGAGCAAACGGG
rnacentral:rRNA from 1 species